rnacentral:snRNA from 11 species
CUGUGGUCCCGGGUAUACGAUAGCUGCGCUCCCCUGCUAGAACCUCCAAACAAGCUCAAGGUCCAUUUGCAGGAGAACACAGAUC